GGAGGGAAGAGGGUGAAAGGGAUAAUUUGGUACAUGUGUGUGGUGAUGGAUGGUAAUUAGACACUGGGUGGUGAACAUGCUGUAGUCUACAGAGAAAUCAAAACAUAAUGAUGUACACUGGAAAUUUAUAUUAUGUUAUAAACCAGUUACCUCAA